UUACCUCAAACAACCAUUUCAGCUUCUCUAACACUGGAGGGGAUUCCAAUAUCCAACCUCAUGGUUGAUUUGUAUUCCUCUGGCACAUUUGCACCAGCCUGAAUGCAAAUUUCCACAAUGGCAGGAGCUUGUCCAUAAAAAUUCCUAAGCUCCCUUUGCAAUGGUGACCCAUUUACAUCGGGAACAUGCCACACGUAUCUUGGUGUUAUCAAGUCGUCAAGCACUGCAGCCUGCCAACCAUGUUGUCCG
rnacentral:misc_RNA from 1 species